GAUGAACGCUAGCGGCAGGCUUAACACAUGCAAGUCGAGGGGCAACACGGGUAGCAAUACCUGGUGGCGACCGGCGCAAGGGUGCGUAACGCGUGAGCAACAUGCCCUAUACAGGGGGAUAAUCCAGGGAAACUUGGUCUAAUAUCCCAUAGUAUUUAGAGGUGGCAUCACCACUAAAUUAAAGCUUCGGUGGUAUAGGAUUGGCUCGCGUGACAUUAGCUGGAUGGUGGGGUAACGGCUCACCAUGGCGAUGAUGUCUAGGGGUUCUGAGAGGAAGACCCCCCACACUGGGACUGAGACACGGCCCAGACUCCUACGGGAGGCAGCAGUGAGGAAUAUUGGACAAUGGAUGGAAAUCUGAUCCCAGCCAUGCCGCGUGCAGGAAGACGGCCCUAUGGGUUGUAAACUGCUUUUAUAUGGAGCAAUAAGGUUUACGCGUAGACCGAUGAGAGUACCAUAUGAAUAAGCAUCGGCUAACUCCG
rnacentral:rRNA from 1 species